UACGUAGGUGGCAAGCGUUACUCGGAAUUACUAGGCGUAAAGCGCAGGUAGGUGGUUGGGUAAGUCCAUGAUGAAAGCUCCCGGCUUAACUGGGAGAGGUUCGUGGAUACUGCCUGGCUCGAGUGUGGGAGAGGUGACUGGAAUUCCCGGUGUAGCGGUGAAAUGCGUAGAGAUCGGGAGGAACACCCAAGGCGAAAGCAGGUCACUGGCCCAAUACUGACACUGAGCUGCGAAAGCUAGGGGAG
rnacentral:rRNA from 1 species